AGCUUUGUGCAGUGGCAGUAUCGUAGCCAAUGAGGUUUAUCCGAGGCGCGAUUAUUGCUAUUUAUUAUAUCUUCCUAACUAGAUUGAUUGUAAGCUUCCUGAAAGCUUGAACAAUAUCUAAACUUUUGUAAGCCCUUCCCAGGA